rnacentral:lncRNA from 1 species
GAGGGAGCGUCCGCGGCCCGCGCAGAGCCGCGCACCAAGCCGAUGGCGUGGACGCAGUCGGGUCCCGCGGUCUGCGCGCGGGCAGGCGCGCGUGGGCGUGUCUCCCUGGCCCACGCGUGUCCCCGGCAUCAGUGUCUCGGCUCUGGUCCAGGACGAAGACUUCUGAAAGCGAGCCAAGAAGAAUCGCAGUUCUUAAUGGAGCCCCUGACUGCUGGGUAGAAGGUGGUGGUUCUGAAGACAGUGAGUGUACCUGGGGCAAAGUGAAGUGUCAGUAGUGCCGUCAUCCCUUCACUUCACCUGUAUCUCUCCACUUUACACUACAUGUGUGUCUUCUCCCACACAUGAAGCAAUGUGAAAUUGCAGCCAGUAAUGUAUAAGAUAUUAAGGAUUGAUAAUGAUGGUGUCAAAUAA